AUUGCUUAUUAUCACACCAAAAAUUAUAUACACAAAUUCUUCUAAACUUGCUAUCUAACAACCACUGGAAAUCAGCUAUUACCUCAUAACAACAUAGUGAAUCAUAGUUGAUUUACCAUGGUCGUCAACUCCUAAGCUAUAUCCUGCCUUCAUUACUAUCAAACUAUCUCCACGUCCUCACAACACCAUUACUCUGAUUUCUUUUGAUAAGAAUGCCUUCACUUUGAAGCCUCCUCUAAAAUAGCCAUGUUGCUUAAAUCCGUCAACACUAGCCCAAUGCCGCAUUGUUGUUGCCUCUAUUUCAAUCAACUUGAGCUCCUCUAGAAUUUGCACCCCUUGUUUCUCUUCAUCUGCAAUCUUUUCUAUUAAUCUAGAUCUACUCCUAUGCUCCAUGACUAACAACCUCUUUUUGUUGUAAUCUUCAUCUUUUUUUUUCUUAGAUUCUCCCACUCACCCUAUAAAAUUAGUUCACAAUUUAAUCUUCUAAGCAAUUCGACACAAAUUGCUAUCCUAUCUUGUAAUCUCAAUUUCUUCUUGAGAACAAACUCUCUAAGCAACACACAUAUUCCUAAUCAAAUCUUUUAUCCAUUAGACUUCCUUGCCUAUUGCAUACUAUUCCCUUACAUUGCCUAGUCU
rnacentral:lncRNA from 1 species